rnacentral:lncRNA from 10 species
GGGGAGAGGACAGGACAGAGACACUCACCGGAGGGCACCUGGUCUGGAGGGGCCGCCUCCUUCAGCUCCAACCAGCCCCAGGCCCUGCAAAGCCCCUGAGGGCCAGGCCCACCCGAUGCUGCUCGACUCAGUAGCCUGGCCCAGCGUGGCGGCACAGCUUGCAGGAGGUCGCCCUGCAGGCACUGUGUGUUUGGACAGCUGGAAGCAGAGCUCGGCCUGUGACCUGCCUGGUCCAGCAACUGGACCUUCUGGAGUAAGCCAGAGAAAAGAAAAUGCCAUUCGGAAAAUCCUAAGGAAGAGAGGAUGCAUUUCCUCGUCUCCACGUGGAAGCGGAUCACCCUAAAGGUCUUCAUCCUGGUCUUUUUCAUGCUGAGGAGGCUGGGGAGGAGAAGGAAGAGGAGGGGCUGGUCUUGCUGACCCAGGAGCAGCAGAGAAAGGAGAAAAUCCACGUGCAGGGGCUGGCCAGCGCUGGGCUUCUCGGGAAUGGAAUCACACACGGACUGUGGCGUACACAUCACAACUUUAAACCCCGUCCGUACUGAAGCCUGCGUCCGAAUUUCUUCUGUUUUUGUGGCGGAAGGAUAAAUAUUCCAUUGUACAGACGGUCUACCCGGUUCAUCCGUCACCCACCCAUGGGCACCCGGGCCGUUUCCACCCUUAGUGAAGGAAGCCGCACGGGUGUUUGUGCGGACAGGAGCUUCCGUUUAUCUUGGGCGCACACCUAGGGGUGGAGUUGCUGGGUCUCGUGGUGACUGGUUGUUUCGGGAGCUGCCGGCAGGUGACCCAGCAGCUGGGCCGGUCCACAUUCCGUCCAGCAGCGUGCGAGUCUCUGAUCUUGGCGCCCACACCCCUGGCUGGCUCUCUCCUCCCUCCGACUUCGCAGCCACACCGGAGGCAGGUGGCAAUGAACUCAAGGUGUGCGGUCCCUCCCUCGGCGCCCAAGCCCCACACUGGGCCUGCCCUGGGCAUGAGUUGGCCAUUGGACCUGAGGCUGGAGAACCUGCCUGGGACAGAACAAAAUUCAAGUGUGAAGUUCUGGAAGGUUCUGGAGGGUUCCAGAGGCCUCCUGGAGCUCCCUGGGUCCCCUGGACUCCACAUGAGUGGCCACCCAGCCUGUGGUCUACGGCUGCCUAGGUUCACCCCCUUGGUCCCCCAGACACACACAGGGCAGCCCUUGUGUUCCUGGGGCCGCUGGUCCUGCAGCGUGAGCUGCCACCUGUAGGGAUCCCUCCCUGCCUGCCCACACCUGCCCCCCACGGCCGCCCCCCCUGCCUGGCCGCACCUGCCCCCCACGGCCG